rnacentral:rRNA from 1 species
CGGAGAUCAUUGUCGAGACCCGAGCGGACGACCGUGAACUAGUAAA